CCGGCGACCGGCGCACGGGUGAGUAACACGUAUGCAACCUGGCCGUGACAGAUGGAUAACCGGGAGAAAUCCCGCCUAAUACAGCAUGACGCCGGGAAGGGACAUCCCUUUCCGGCCAAAGGGGGCGACUCCGGUCACGGAUGGGCAUGCGGCGCAUUAGGUAGUUGGUGGGGCAACGGCCCACCUAACCGACGAUGCGUAGGGGUUCUGAGAGGAAGGUCCCCCACACUGGUACUGAGACACGGACCAGACUCCUACGGAAGGCAGCAG
rnacentral:rRNA from 1 species